rnacentral:rRNA from 1 species
CCAACAGGGAUUGCCUCAGUAACGGCGAGUGAAGCGGCAACAGCUCAAAUUUGAAAUCUGGCCCCCCGGCCCGAGUUGUAAUUUGCAGAGGAUGCUUCUGGCGCGGUGCCUUCCAAGUCCCCUGGAACGGGGCGCCAUAGAGGGUGAGAGCCCCGUCGGGUUGGCCGCCAAGCCUGUGUGAAGCUCCUUCGACGAGUCGAGUAGUUUGGGAAUGCUGCUCUAAAUGGGAGGUAGACCCCUUCUAAAGCUAAAUACCGGCCAGAGACCGAUAGCGCACAAGUAGAGUGAUCGAAAGAUGAAAAGCACUUUGAAAAGAGGGUUAAACAGUACGUGAAAUUGUUGAAAGGGAAGCGCUUGUGACCAGACGUGCGCCGGGUGUUCAGCGGGCGUUUUCGCCCGUGCAUUCGCCCCGGCGCAGGCCAGCGUCGGUUUGGGCGGGGGGAUAAAGGUGCCAGGAACGUAUCUCCCCCGGGAGUGUUAUAGCCUGGUGCGUCAUGCCCCCGCCUGGACCGAGGUUCGCGCUCCGCAAGGACGCUGGCGUAAUGGUCCCCAGCGGCCCGUCUUGAAACACGGACCAAGGAGUCGAGGUUUUACGCGAGUGUCUGGGUGUCAAACCCGCACGCGUAAUGAAAGUGAACGUAGGUGGGAGCUUCGGCGCACCACCGACCGAUCCUGAUGUUUUCGGAUGGAUUUGAGUAGGAGCGUAGGGCCUCGGACCCGAAAGAUGGUGAACUAUACUUGGAUAGGGUGAAGCCAGAGGAAACUCUGGUGGAGGCUCGCAGCGGUUCUGACGUGCAAAUCGAUCGUCAAAUCUGAGUAUGGGGGCGAAAGACUAAUCGAACCAU